GGUCACCAACAUGGGUCACCAGAUCAAGAUUUAUGGACGUGGAUAUAUUCUUCAACCUCACCACGCUCACCAUCCUGGUCAAUGAUGUUGUGGUGGAGGAGGUGGGCGUGGCAGCAGGUGGAGGCAUGCACUAGCAGCCUUACACGAGACGCGGGGCACCCUCUUGGCCUCUAGAACCAUCCCGACCUCCAAGCCCUCUGAGGCCUACAUCCUACGGCAUACCUUGAGGUCUCUCCAGCCAGGUCGAGUACUGGUGUUGGCCUUGGUGCCAGAUGGUGCCAGGUACUUGGCACCAGCUGAGUCACUCCUCCAUGACCUGGGGUGCCGCCUGCUCUCCAGUGUGGGCGUGGGUGAGGCAUGGGCAGCUAUCAUCAGUGGUAACGUGACCCACGAGGCCGUAGUCACCCGCACGCCCAUACCCAUCAACACCCGCAGUACCUACAACACCAUCCUGGCUCCUGUAGACCAUAGCCUGGGGGUCAGUGUGUCCAUACCAGCACGCGAGGCAAGACGAUGUCCUUGGCACAGUCGGCGUGAGAUGAUGCAGCAGCGGAUCUUCUGUGACACUUAUGAUGGAUUUCCGGAGCUGUGCCGCUGUCACCGCCCCCUGACACCUGCAGCUGCCCGGGCC